GCUACGGCCCCAGCCAAUCGCUCGCCGGUAACCGGGACAACCGGCCACUACAGAGCAGCCGAUUGGCCAGCGCUGCCGGGCAGGCGGUGUCUGGCUGCGGCUAAAGGGCCCUGCGCCGGGGAGCAGCCGCCCCAGCCCCCUCCCGCAGGGUCCGGCGCAGCCCGCCCGGGGGCCCAGCGCUCCCCAGCGGCCGGAGCAGGCUGUCCCCGCCGCGGGCCGGGCCGGGCCGGGCGAGCUACGUGCGGCUGCUGGAGAUCACUGGGAUGGCGAAGGAGUAACUCAGGGAGGUACAGCUCUCUUGUGCCAGUUCCACAGCCACUUGAAACUGCCAUGUGCCUCUGUGCUGCACGCAACCGACUUGGAGAGCUUCACAGCUGUGGCUGGGGCAGAAUCCCCAUCACCUGCACCAAAGCACAGGGCCCCGAUGCCUGAGCUAAUGGAGAAUCUCUGCUAUCUGUUAGCAGUGCAGGGCCCAUGACAGCCAGGGGAACGAUGAGAGGUACAUGUAUACACACACCAGCCUGUUCGUUACACACUUGCCUAUAUAGACAAAGCUUGCCUCAGAACCAGCUGUUCAGAUCUUCCUUCUGACAUCAACAUAAGAAAUCUCUGUGCAUCAAGGGCUUCCAUCCCAUAACCUCCAGGCUUUGCGUGGGCUUGUCUGAGAUGGUUGUGACAUAUGGUCGUCUUUCUUUUUAUACAAAGGUAUCACCAUUGGUGCACAAUUGUGAUAAAUCUUAUACAAGUAUGUGCUGUUAGGUAUCCAUGAAAAUGUUAUGAGCUGCUAAGUAUUAUUUUCCUAUUUAAAUCCAUAUAUCAUCAUUGUAUCUGAAGUUAUGAAGUUUUGCUAUGUGUUUGUAUCUCAAAUGUGUUCUGUUCCUGGAUAUCAGCCACAAGACAGAUUUGCAUCAAAGCUAGUCAGCCAUGUGUUGAUGGCCCAUAAAGAGAAUCAACUCUUCAGUGAGCCCCCCUGAGUAGGUACUCUGAGAAGGCAUGCUGACACUGGGUGACCCAUGACUCAGCAAUGGCAUGUAAGGUCAGAUGAUCCAAGAUUUCAUGUUUGUGCCAGUAACUUUCCAUGCACAUAGGUUCAGGAUCUAAAAGUGGAGACUGUGACGUCACUUCUUAGCCUCUUUCCUGCUCCACAUCUCUGGAUUAUGAUUUCUAACAAAGAAGAGUUUAAAACAAUGGACUGAGGACCCCAAUAUUUGGGAUGAACCAGAGCCACUUAUUACAAACUGUUAGAUUUAACAUCACUGCUAUUAACCUGAUCUACAACCUCUGAAACCACCUGUAAUGCACAUGAUUCAUUUUAACCUCUAAUAAUUCUCUUCCUUUUUUGUAUAUUAAUAAACUUUUAGGUUUUAGUU